AUUAAGUACCUUUAAAUUUUAAUAUUUUUAAAUAUAUGCUAAUUAAUAAAUUUUAUCAUCAUUUAUAAUUACAUAAUUGUUAAGAAUUUUUUAAAAUAAAAUUACAUUAAAUGGUGAGUGGACAUAAAUUUAGAUCUAAAUAUUAAGAUAAAUUCGAAUUUGCUCUAGAUCCGCCUUAAAUUCAUGUAUCGAUAUCCAAAUCCGAUCCAAAUCAAUUUUAAUCCGAUCCAAAUUCGAUCCAAUUAAAUUCGAAUCACAUGGACAAUUGUUUGGUUCAAUUCUAGUUCUGCAAUUUUGAACCAGAAAUCUGCCAAAUUGUUUGGUAAAAAUCACACACACACACAAUUUUGAACCAAACAAUCCGAUCCAUUGCCAUCCUUAACACAAACACACACAUACACACACACACACACACACAUUACCGCCGAUUAUGACUAAUUUUUACCCAAAAUCUGCCAAAUUGCUGCCGGCUGCUGAUAACAAAACCUUUGCUACUGCCGCUGCCUUUUUGCUUUGCUGCCGCUUCCUUUUGGCUUUGCUGUUACUGCCGCUUCCUUCUGGCUUUGGUUUUGUCGUCGCUUCAUUUUUGGGUUUGCUGUUGCCUGCUGAUGGCUCUUUGCUUCCUUCUGGCUUCACGAUCUAGCACCCAUUGCUACCUUCACUGCUGCCAGUGCCACUUCCUUCUAGCUUCAAGAUCUAGCAACCACCGCUGCCAAGGCGCAUGGUGGUGGUGAGAGCGGAAGCUCAGGGAGCUGGGUUUGUUUUGAUUGAAGAAGAAACAAAUCCCAGCUCAAGUCUUUCUUUAUGAUUUAUGAAUGAAAGAGAGUAAGUAGUAAUAAUACAGCCUCAAUUUUCUUUACUACUUGUACUCCUUUUCUUUUCUUUUUGUCAAAUUAACUUGCAUAAUCAUUUUCGAUAUCAUAAAUGCUUUUUAGAAAUCUAUAACAUUUAUUUGAAGUUAAAAGCUAAUGAGUGUCACAACUCUUUUUAUUUUCAAUUGAUUGUGAUGGUAGUGAAUGAUUUGGUUUGGUAAUAUUAUUGAUGAAAUUAUAGAUUGCAAUUUGUAUAUUUGCAUUUGUACUGAUAGUUUUCUAAGGAAACAAAGUAGUUAAAUUUGUACAGGUGAUGAAAAACCGAUAUUUUGAACCGAAACCGAACAGGAACCGAAAUUGAAAUACCAAAUCGCAACCGAACCGAACCAAGUCAAGUCGAUCGGUUCCAGUUCGAUUCUUAAUUUAUUUAGAUUUAUUUCGGUUUUUUACAAAAUUCUGCACUGAACCAAAAUUUUUAAUUUUUUCCAAUACUGAACCAAACAGAACCGACCUGGUACCUAUCCGUAAGAGCGAAUUUUGAAUAAUUAA
rnacentral:lncRNA from 1 species